GGCUCCGGCAGCAGCGCCGGACAGGCGGGAGGCUCCGGCAGCAGUGCCGGACAGGCGGGAGACUCCGGCAGCAGCGCCGGACAGGCGGGACCACCUGCAGGGAGGAGACAGAGAGACAGCCUGGUGCGUGGGGCUGCCACAGGAACCACCAGGCUGGGGAGACCUUCAGGAGGCUUGAGUAGUUGUCCAGCCUGGGGAAGUGGUGCCAAGGUUGCGCACCAGAGCUCCAGUGCUCCCCCACAGCCCGGUCCUUCAGGUGCCUCCUAACACCAAG
ensembl:lncRNA